rnacentral:misc_RNA from 1 species
UCAAACUUGGUCAUUUAGAGGAAGUAAAAGUCGUAACAAGGUCUCCGUUGGUGAACCAGCGGAGGGAUCAUUACUGAGUUAUCAAACUCCAAACCCAUGUGAACAUACUCGUGUUGCCUCGGCGGCGAGCCUACCCGGGAGCUCCUACCCUGGAGCUACCCUGGAGCUACCCUGUACUUACCUACCCGGUAUCUACCCUGUAGCGCUGGCAGACCGCCGAAGGACCAACUUAAACUCUUGUUUCUAUGUGGCACAUCUGAGUUACAUAUACAAAUAAGUCAAAACUUUCAACAACGGAUCUCUUGGUUCUGGCAUCGAUGAAGAACGCAGC